CACGUAGGGCGCGAGCGUUGUCCGGAAUUAUUGGGCGUAAAAGAGCUCGUAGGCGGCCUGUUGCGUCCGCUGUGAAAGCCCGGGGCUUAACCCCGGGUCUGCAGUGGAUACGGGCAGGCUAGAGGUAGGUAGGGGAGAAUGGAAUUCCCCGGUGUAGCGGUGAAAAUGCGCAGAUAUCGGGAGGAACACCGGUGGCGAAGGCGGUUCUCUGGGCCUUACCUGACGCUGAGGAGCGAAAAGCGUGGGGGAGCGAACAGG
rnacentral:rRNA from 1 species